AUGUCACUGAAUCAGCAAGUCAAGAAUUUAGGAGGGGUCCUCAUUGCUCACACCCUCCAGACUCUUUUUUUUUUUUUUUUUUUUUUUUUAGGAAAAGUCCUCUUUGCUGUCCACAGGAGCCACCCUGCAGACAGCUUUAUUCCUUACAGAAAAGCAGUCCGUCCCUCGCCCUCCCUGCUGUUUGCCUGGGGCAGUGGCGGCCCCUCAGUCCUGGCCCCAGGUGCCUGUCAGCUGUCAUCCUCCCCUUCAGAUUCUCCCGCUGACUCCGAGGCACUCUCGGACAAGUCACCUCCCAUCUGCUGGAACCUUCCAGACUGUGCAUCCCACAGGUUGUCUUUGUGCCCAUCAGCUGGGCUUCGACCCAAGGCCACCAUCAUCACCUUGUUUUUGCCAAAGAACAUCUGGCUGUGCUUCCCGCAUGUCCUUCAGCUUGGUGCUCCUCAUGUUGGCCACGGAGAAGACGCAAAGGCAAUUGGGAACCAUUGAGGAGUUUGAAGCAAGGGAAUGACUUGACCAGAUGUGCUGCCCACCACCUUUUCAUCUCUGAACAGCCCAUGCCCAACAAACAAUACCUGCCCAGCACCACCUCUUCCAGCUGGCACCAUCGUCACCAACUGACAUCCAACUCUUGUCAUGUCCACAGUGACAACUGGGAGAAUGAGCUUUGAAGUAAGACAGAUCUAGGUUCCAGGUUAUUGGACUUACUGAAGCCUCACUUUUCUCCGCUGUAAAAUUGCCACAAGACAUUGCACCUUCCUGAGGGAGAUUUUAGAUAAUGUGUGUAAGGCUCUUCUUGCUGAACCGAUGUCCCCUGUUUUUCCCAAUGUUAAUGUUACCGCCAUGGAAGUUAGCUGUUCUGACUGCAACACCCUCCCCUGUGAAGUGCUCCUGGUGAAUCAGAACAACUUCCGUCAUCUGAGAGACUCUCCAAGUCCCUGUGAGGCUCUGGAAUGUGAAGAGCUUCAGGCUAUUUUCAUCAGAAGCCAUCAAGAUUGCCUAAGUUUCUUUUCAUCUAACUGAGGAAAAUUGUACUUAAGCUCUGGGAACAGAGAGCUACCAAUAUCCUCAAACAGUAGCAGAGGGAUGAUUGACUUCCUAGUUGGAUUUGUUUUGUGCCUUUGGCAGCAUGUAGAGCUGACAGGAGAGCAUGCACAGCUCCAGCUUGCCUCUCAACUGUCCAUUAAAAAAUGUUUUAAGAGAGAACAUGUGCACAUGAGUACGCGGGCGGCAGAGGUGUGGGAUGGGGAAGGUGGGUACAGAGGAAGAGAAAGAAGCAGACUCCCCACUGAGCAGGGAGCCUGAAUGCGUAGUAUUUCAGCCCAGGAUCCUGGAACCUGAGCCGAGGCACCCACUUAACCAACUGGCCCCCAGGGCAGUGGUCAACUGUCCUUCAUUUUAAGCAGAUUUAAAAGUCCAUAUAGUCUGGAGAAUCAAGAAGCCAUUCUUGUAUACUCUUCUGAAAGAAUCAAGCUCAUGGGAUGUCACAUGGCUUUUUAACUUAAUUACUGAGGAAAUAAGGAAUCAUCCUGACAGUGGAUGGGGUAAUAUCUCACCUGUCACCUUCUUAUCCUACUGAAAAUGUCAACCAAAUUCACAUUCCAAUGUCACAGCUCUUCUUGAUCUUUUAGAAGUUAAUUACUUCUUUUAUUGAUAAAGAAUAGUACUGUAGACCAUUUGAAAUUGCUGUUUUGUGGGUCAAAAAUGAGAAUGUCAGCAAUUUCUUAUGAUUUAGAUUAAUAUAAUGCAUAGUGAAAACAUUUUAAAUGUACAAAAGGUAACUAGAUCUCUCUCCUAUUCUAAUUGCCUGCUUCCUUUCCCCAAAGGCAACAGCUGCCACUAAUGACUUGAGAAAAAAUUGUAUAUAAUUUGAGAAAUAUUUUACACACAUUUAAUUUAUAAACACACAGAAAUAUGAUAUGCAAGCUGUUUUUUUAAAAAAUCUUUCUUUAGCUGCAUCUCUUAGAAAUCAUUCCAACUAACUCAUCAAUAUCUUUAACCAGUGCCUAUGGAUACGAAGAUUGUUUCCAGUGUUUUGCUCUUAUAAAACAAUGCUGUAACAAAUAUCCUCACACACGUAUCUUUGGUUUGUGCAAGUAUAUGCAGCAUAAAUCUCUGAAAGGGAAAUCAUUAGGCUAAAGAGCUUGUGAUUUAAAAUUCUGAGAAAUAUUGACAAAUUCCCCUCAAAAUAGGUUAUACAAUUUACAUUCUCUCCAAUAGCAUGUCUUUCUUGCUCUAUAGUUAACACUUUAUACUUGUCAGACUCAUGCCUUCCCUCAUAAUUGCAGAUAUUUUUUGCCCAUAAAUAGCUUAUUUUAAUUAACAAAGCUAAACUAAAGUAGCAAUGCUCAGAGUUCUGGUCAUGGGUCUGUUGGCUCUCAGACCUAUCACCAUCCUCUCUCAUGCUGCUUGGUAUGGGGGGGGUGAAGGGGUGAAAGGGGGGCUAAGCAAAUAAUUUCCCAGACUCCCUUACCCACUGGCUUCUGUUGGAUAGGGCAGUGCAGCCAGGACCCUGUUCCCUCACUCUGUGUCUGGUGGCAUUCCCAGUAGCCACUGACUCUAGUUCCCCUCAGGGGUUCCUCCCUUCAGGGUCCCAGAUCUCACUCUGCAUCCUGGCUCCUGGGCUCACUGUGCCUUGUUUGCCCUUUUAGCUUUUCCAAUAUCUUUGUAACUGGUUCCCCAUACUCAAUCAUCUCUCUUGAAUUAUCUGCUUUACUUUUGUGCGUUUGAUUCCUAUCCCCCACCCACCCUUAACCAAACACUGAACUGGUAUACCCAGAAUUGACAGAAAUGAGGAAAAAUGGCCAUGUUUCAAUACUAUUGGUAGGAAUGGAAAUUGUUGCAAAAUUUUUUUGGCAGGCAGUUUGGCAAUCUGUUCCAAGAGCUUUAAAAAUGAGCGUACUCUUGCCCUAUCUUUUUAGAUAUAUGUGUUGAAAUACUUAUGAGUGAAAUGAUGUAUAUCUGUGAUUUACUUCUAAACAAUCUGAGAGGAGGAUAAUUGGGAAACUGUAUAGAUCAAAUGAGAUUGGCCACAAGUUGAUAGUUGUUUAAUGUGGGUGAAGGAUACUUAGACAUUUGUUACAGUCAUCUCUUUACUUACAAAUAUUUGAAUUUUUCAGUAAUAAAAAGUAUCUUUCAAAAGCCA
rnacentral:lncRNA from 12 species